rnacentral:rRNA from 1 species
UACGAAGGGGGCUAGCGUUGCUCGGAAUUACUGGGCGUAAAGGGCGCGUAGGCGGAUACUUAAGUUAGAGGUGAAAGCCCAGGGCUCAACCCUCGGAUGCCGGUGGAUACUGUCGGGCUUGAGUACGGAAGAGGCGAGUGGAAUUCCUGGUGUAGCGGUGAAAUGCGCAGAUAUCAGGAGGAACACCAAUUGCGAAGGCAGCUCGCUGGGACGUUACUGACGCUGAGACGCGAAAGCGUGGGGAGCAAACAGG